CAGAUCUCUCUCCAGUCUGCGUCUUCUAAGUAUUUGGUCUCUAAAACUACGGUGCCAGCAGUGUGUAAACGUGCACAGCGUGGGCGUGCACGUUUAUUUUGUACUCCCCCAGCCUUGUGGAACCACUAGACUCCCAGACUGGGUUCUGACCUGGUCUGCACCGGACCCUCCUCACAGGAAGAGGAGGAUCUUCAGAUGAAGUGGAGGAGGAAGACGAAGGUCUAAGAGCGCCCCUAGUCCUGGUCGAGACCUGGUCUUAGUCCUGGUCGAGACCUGGUCUUAGUCCAGGUCUAGACCUGGUCUUAGUCCUGUUCGAGACGUCUUGGACCAGCAGUCCUUUGAGGACGCACUGUGUGAAUCAGAACAAAACAGGACUUCUUCAACACAUGCACACACACGCAUAUAUGGUACACACGCAUGCAUGGUACACACGCACACAUAUGGCACACAAACAAACACACACACUCCGACAAACACAGCUCAAUGCAUCUCAAAUUCCUGCUGCCUGAACUGUUGUUAACCUGUCUAGUAGUCUCUCUCCCUUGCUCUCCCUCUGUGUAACUGUUCAGUGUGUUUCGUUGUGUGUCGGCCCAUCCACAUCUGUAGAGGGUUAGCAGCACAGCUUCCCUCCACGUCGGCUCAAAGGAGCUCCGCGCGACGCAGCGGAGAGAGCUGCUGUAGUCCGCUCUGUAGCCGCGCAUGGCCGCUCAUAUAUCAAUACUGUACAACGCUUCUGAUAGGCUGACCUCUCGCUGGACCCCCUCUCAGACCCCCACCGGACCCCCACCGGACCUGGACCUGGGUUAGACCCUAUCUAGACGGCACUCGGACCCGACCUAGACCUGAGUUAGACUCGAUCUAGACUGGCUCUAGAUGUGCCCCCUGGCCCGUUGACCCUCAGCUCAUCACGCUGGUGUAGACGCCGCUGAACCCGACGCCGUGAAUGAGUGACCGACAAAUGAAUGAAUGAAAUACUGAAGGGCAGCCCACCGCCGGUGGAGCCCCGUGUUCAGGGUGACCCGCUGAAUGUGGACCCAGGAAGACCCAGCUAGCUGAUGGCUAGGAAGCUGAUAGCUAGCUGAUAGGUAGCUGCCAGCUAGCUGAUGAAUAGGUAGCUGCCAGCUAGCUGACGGCUAAGUAGCCGCCGGCUAGCUGACGGCUAGGUAGCCGCCGGCUAGCUGACGGCUAGGUAGCCGCCGUAUGGUUAAGCUGACGGUUAGGUAGCCGCCGGCUAGCUGACGGCUAGGUAGCCGCCGGCUAGCUGAUGGCUAGGUAGCUGCCAGCUAGAGGGUAGCUGCCAGCUAGGGCGCUGCAAACCAGCUGAUAGCUAGAUAGCUUCCAGAUAAAGAGCUUCUAGAAAGGUACUUUCUAGUUGGACAGUUGCUUGACUGGUGGUUUCUAGCGAGCCGCUAGGUGGUUUUCUAGCUAAAUAGCUGCUGGACAGAUAGCUGCUAACAAGGCAAUGUAGCUGCUAGCUAGAUUCUAUGGUUCUAUCUUGAGGUUCUAUCUUGAUCGCUGAUGUUCUGCUAGUUCCUGGCUACGUUACCUCCAGGCAGCAGCUUUCAUCUUCUGAUAAACUGCUCAAGUGUGGCGUUAACGAGUUGACUAGCUGAGCUGGGUGGUGAUGGUUAGAAGCUAGCUAGGUAGCAGCUGCUAAUGAAGAAGCCACCAGUUCUUCUGCGAUAACUUCCUGGUUCAAACUGUUUCUUGACUCGUCUUGCUUUGCUUCGGUUCCCCAGACGUCGGUACUCCUCCAAACCGCCCCAAUCCGGUUCUGCUCACUCUGCGCACUUUUCAAAGUAAAAGUCCUGCCGUGUUCGGAUGCUGGGAGGAAUCGUACGGGAAUGGUUUCGGGGGGGAGGGCAGGGGUGCUGAGGGGAUCCCUCCCAUGUGGAGGUCAGAGGUCAGUCCGGUUCCAUUCUGCUUCUCCUCACGCCCCCCGCUGGGCUGUAGGGCAGGGGGGCUCCAUGCCUGGACUCCGCCUCCUCUCUGGUCCCCAACGGAUCAAAUGUAUUCAGCUCUUUGGUAUAAUCUUUGAGUCCAAAGGUACUUAUUCAUGUGGACAUCUCGCUACAUCGAGGCACGCCCCCAAGAGCACUUGUAUGAACCUUCAUUAACGUAUGUAGCAUUAGAUUGGUUCAAUGAGAUGUCGUGUUGAGAUGUUGUCCCGCCCCUUUCGCCCGGAGCAGCCACUCAGGCUGCUGCUGUGUGCUUCAAUAAAUACAACUGCCUUCUCAAAGGUCACGCCCCCUUCUUAGGUGUGUGUGUGUGUGUGUGUGUGUGUGUGUGUGUGUGUGUGUGUGUGUGUGUGUGUGUGUGUGUGUGUGUGUGUGUGUGUGUGUGUGUGUGUGUGUGUGUGUGUGUGUGUGUGUGUGUGUGAUGGGUCUCGUGUGAAUCUCCAUAAUAAAUAUUAAUAAAUGUGAUCAGAUGGUUGUUCCUGGGGUCAUUAAAACACGACUCAAAUCAAAAGUUAAUUAAAUUCUUCAUUAUUCUUCGUUAUUACUUCUAAACGCUGCGUCCACCAAAACUAAACUGCUACGCGUUUUAUUGCACACUCUCUCUGUCUCUCUCUCUCUCUGUCUGUCUCUCUUUCUCUUUCUGUCUGCCUCUCUUUCUGACUAUCUCUC
ensembl:lncRNA